GCUCUCCUUUUCAGGGAACAGGGCUUGAGAAGCAAGGACUUAAAAGAUGGGUAGGACUUAAAAAGGGCACUUCAGUUGCAAAUGAAGGUCUAUCUGCCGGAACACUGGCCAUUCCACAGGACAGGUGACCACAAGAUCACUUUACAGCUUGGGAAUCGACAACCUACCAGACCACGUGGUCUCCAGCUCUCCAGAUCCAGCCACACUCACGGCCAACUGCUGCUUUAAAGUGUCCCUUCUUAUUUCUGUGGGUAUGUUACUGGGUCUUUCGGGUCACUCACCCACUAGACCACCUCCCCCUCCAGAGGGGUCCCCUGCCCCCCUAGAAAUUUGGUGGCUUGACAGUGCAGUGUGCUUUUUAGACAACUAGUUAAAACAGGAACAAGAACCCCCACAAGACACCCAUCUUCUGACUACUCAUGGAUAGAGAAGUUCAGCUUAUGCACAAAAGAAUCACACCAAUGAAGUUUUUCAACCUUUAUUAAUAUGUCAUCUAUUUUUAAAAAUAGUGAGACUGCUCCAAACAACAGAUGCAUGAGAGAUACCUGAAAAUUAAAAGGGCAAAGUAAUUACACUAGAUUCCUGUGAAAAUACAAACACAAACCAGUUUAGGACAAAUUCAAUCAAGAGGUAUAGUAUAGUUUGAAGCUACUUCCACUUCCCCUAACUUCAUCUGAAGAAAAAGGAGGAAAACGGAAAGGCAGAAGUAAAAGUCAAGCAAAGACGCCGCAGGGAUUUGAACCCUGUCCUGGAAGCCAGGAGUGCCAACCACCAGCAUCUUUUGCUUUUUUUUUUAAAGCUAGGUAAAGGCCAAAAAGCAAAACCUGAGAAAACAAAGUAUUUUGUUUUCUCAGGAAAAGAAAAACCUUUAAAUUUUAAGACCCUACUGAAGAGCACUGGAGAAUCUGCUUCAGCUAAGAUGCUAGCUUGGCCAAGUCUGUUAUGUUCACCUGAAAAAGUCUUAGCAGAGAGUUUUUGCAUUCCCACCCAACAGCAAAAAGGAC
rnacentral:lncRNA from 1 species